rnacentral:rRNA from 1 species
GCUCAACCGGGGAGGGUCAUUGGAAACUGGGGAACUUGAGUGCAGAAGAGGAGAGUGGAAUUCCACGUGUAGCGGUGAAAUGCGUAGAGAUGUGGAGGAACACCAGUGGCGAAGGCGACUCUCUGGUCUGUAACUGACGCUGAGGCGCGAAAGCGUGGGGAGCGAACAGGAUUAGAUACCCUGGUAGUCCACGCCGUAAACGAUGAGUGCUAAGUGUUAGAGGGUUUCCGCCCUUUAGUGCUGCAGCAAACGCAUUAAGCACUCCGCCUGGGGAGUACGGUCGCAAGACUGAAACUCAAAGGAAUCGACGGGGGCCCGCACAAGCGGUGGAGCAUGUGGUUUAAUUCGAAGCAACGCGAAGAACCUUACCAGGUCUUGACAUCCUCUGACAACCCUAGAGAUAGGGCUUCCCCUUCGGGGGCAGAGUGACAGGUGGUGCAUGGUUGUCGUCAGCUCGUGUCGUGAGAUGUUGGGUUAAGUCCCGCAACGAGCGCAACCCUUGAUCUUAGUUGCCAGCAUUCAGUUGGGCACUCUAAGGUGACUGCCGGUGACAAACCGGAGGAAGGUGGGGAUGACGUCAAAUCAUCAUGCCCCUUAUGACCUGGGCUACACACGUGCUACAAUGGGCAGAACAAAG